UUUUUCCAUUUGAAUGCCUUUUAUUUCUUUCUCUUGCCUGAUUGCUCUGUCUAGGAUUCCCAGUACUACAACGAAUAGGAGAGGUGAGAAUGGGAAUCCUUGUCUAGCUGCCAU